ACUCCUACGGGAGGCAGCAGUGGGAAUAUUGCACAAUGGGGAAGCCAUCGAUGCAGCCAUGCCGCGCUGUGUGAAGAAGGCCAAUUCGGGCUUGGUAAAGACACUUUCAGUAGGGAGGAAGGUAGUGUAGUUAACACCUGCAUUAUUUGACGUUACCUACAGAAGAAGCACCGGCUAACUCCGUGCCAGCAGCCGCGGUAAUACGGAGGGUGCGAGCGUUAAUCGGAAUUACUGGGCGUAAAGCGCAUGCAGGCGGCCUGUUAAGUCAGAUGUGAAAGCCCGGGCUUAA
rnacentral:rRNA from 1 species